AGUGGCGCCUGAAGUCUGCAAGGAGGAAGUCGCCUCUGUGCUGUGAGUCCAGGAAUCUAAGGCAUCUUCUUUAUUCUGGAAUGAGCCUGCCCAUCCCUCAGGAAGACUGAAAGGAAUUCGGUCAGAAGAAUAUUAUUGACUUUUGUCCAGACUUGAUUUCAAUAGAGUUCUGGGACCUGCCAUAUCCUAUGGGUGAGCUCUAUCCAGGUCCCCUUCCCUGAAUUACCUGUCCUCUCCCCACUGACUGGGAUGACACCUAAUUUUACAACCUGCUGUAGCAAGCAUCUUUGCUGCCACUGUAACAGUAAACUCCUUGAGACUGGUGGCAUCUUGGGAGGUGAUUAGAUUCAGAAGAGGUUGAGAGGUUGGGGCCCCCAUGAUGGGAUUAGUGUCCUUUUAAGAAAAAGAAGAGACUGGAGCUCCCCACUCUCUUCACCACGUGAGGAUAUGGCAAGAAGGCAGCUGUCUGCCAGGCAGGAAGAGGGCCCUCACCAGGAACUGAAUCUGCUGGUUCCCUAACCUCAGACUUCCAGGGUCCAGAAUUGUGAGAAAGAAAUAUCUGUUGUUUAACCAAUCCGUCUGUGGUGUUUUGUUAUGGCAGCACAAGCUGACUAAACAAGUGCCAAAACCAAACCAGUAACUCCCCCUUUCCAGUCUCGGACCCAGUAUGAAGGAAUUCUGGUCACAUCAUUUAUUCAUCCAUUUAACAAAUAUUUAGUAAGUGCUUCUGUGCCAGGCAUUUUUCUAGGCCUGGUGAUCAUUUAAUCAAAAGAGACUAACACCUGCUCCCUGAUGCUUACAAUCUGAAAGACAAUAAAGAAAAAUAUAAUAACA
rnacentral:lncRNA from 1 species